rnacentral:snoRNA from 1 species
CCCCUGGAGGAUGAUCAGCUGAUCUCCCAUAUCCUCGCGGGGCUUCACAUGGAGUACCAGCCGCUGGUCUCAAUGCUGGAUGCUCGCACCAUCCCGGUCACGCUCGAUGAGCACUUUGCUCAUAUGAGCAACUUCGACC